CAGUAGCCGCGGGAAAACAGAGGGUGCGAGCGUUAAUCGGAUUUACUGGGCGUAAAGCGUGCGUAGGCGGAUUCUUAAGUCGGAUGUGAAAUCCCUGAGCUUAACUUAGGAAUUGCAUUCGAUACUGGGAAGCUAGAGUAUGGGAGAGGAUGGUAGAAUUCCAGGUGUAGCGGUGAAAUGCGUAGAGAUCUGGAGGAAUACCGAUGGCGAAGGCAGCCAUCUGGCCUAAUACUGACGCUGAGGUACGAAAGCAUGGGGAGCAAACAGGAUUAGAUACCCCAGUAGUCCCUGUCUCUUAUAA
rnacentral:rRNA from 1 species